rnacentral:rRNA from 1 species
GACGAACGCUGGCGGCGUGCCUAAUACAUGCAAGUAGAACGCUGAAGAGAGGAGCUUGCUCUUCUUGGAUGAGUUGCGAACGGGUGAGUAACGCGUAUGUAACCUGCCUGGUAGCGGGGGAUAACUAUUGGAAACGAUAGCUAAUACCGCAUAAAAUUGAUUAUUGCAUGAUAAUUAAUUGAAAGAUGCAAUUGCAUCACUACCAGAUGGACCUGCGUUGUAUUAGCUAGUUGGUGAGGUAACGGCUCACCAAGGCGACGAUACAUAGCCGACCUGAGAGGGUGAUCGGCCACACUGGGACUGAGACACGGCCCAGACUCCUACGGGAGGCAGCAGUAGGGAAUCUUCGGCAAUGGGGGGAACCCUGACCGAGCAACGCCGCGUGAGUGAAGAAGGUUUUCGGAUCGUAAAGCUCUGUUGUAAGAGAAGAACGGGUGUGAGAGUGGAAAGUUCACACUGUGACGGUAUCUUACCAGAAAGGGACGGCUAACUACGUGCCAGCAGCCGCGGUAAUACGUAGGUCCCGAGCGUUGUCCGGAUUUAUUGGGCGUAAAGCGAGCGCAGGCGGUUAGAUAAGUCUGAAGUUAAAGGCUGUGGCUUAACCAUAGUAUGCUUUGGAAACUGUUUAACUUGAGUGCAGAAGGGGAGAGUGGAAUUCCAUGUGUAGCGGUGAAAUGCGUAGAUAUAUGGAGGAACACCGGUGGCGAAAGCGGCUCUCUGGUCUGUAACUGACGCUGAGGCUCGAAAGCGUGGGGAGCAAACAGGAUUAGAUACCCUGGUAGUCCACGCCGUAAACGAUGAGUGCUAGGUGUUAGGCCCUUUCCGGGGCUUAGUGCCGCAGCUAACGCAUUAAGCACUCCGCCUGGGGAGUACGACCGCAAGGUUGAAACUCAAAGGAAUUGACGGGGGCCCGCACAAGCGGUGGAGCAUGUGGUUUAAUUCGAAGCAACGCGAAGAACCUUACCAGGUCUUGACAUCCCUCUGACCGCUCUAGAGAUAGAGUUUUCCUUCGGGACAGAGGUGACAGGUGGUGCAUGGUUGUCGUCAGCUCGUGUCGUGAGAUGUUGGGUUAAGUCCCGCAAUGAGCGCAACCCCUAUUGUUAGUUGCCAUCAUUCAGUUGGGCACUCUAGCGAGACUGCCGGUAAUAAACCGGAGGAAGGUGGGGAUGACGUCAAAUCAUCAUGCCCCUUAUGACCUGGGCUACACACGUGCUACAAUGGCUGGUACAACGAGUCGCAAGCCGGUGACGGCAAGCUAAUCUCUGAAAGCCAGUCUCAGUUCGGAUUGUAGGCUGUAACUCGCCUACAUGAAGUCGGAAUCGCUAGUAAUCGCGGAUCAGCACGCCGCGGUGAAUACGUUCCCGGGCCU